rnacentral:tRNA from 1 species
AGUAGGGUAAGCUAAAACAAGCUAUCGGGCCCAUACCCCGAAAAUGAUGGUUAAACUCCUUCCCCUACUA